rnacentral:rRNA from 1 species
UACAGAGGUCCCGAGCGUUGUUCGGAUUCAUUGGGCGUAAAGGGUGCGUAGGCGGCGGAGUAAGUUGGGUGUGAAAUCCCGGGGCUUAACCUCGGAAUUGCAUUCAAUACUGCUUCGCUAGAGUACUGGAGAGGAGGCUGGAAUUUACGGUGUAGCAGUGAAAUGCGUAGAUAUCGUAAGGAAGGCCGGUGGCGAAAGCGAGCCUCUGGACAGUUACUGACGCUGAUGCACGAAGGCCAGGGGAGCAAACGGG